UACGUAGGGACCGAGCGUUGUCCGGAUUCAUUGGGCGUAAAGAGCUCGUAGGCGGCUGCUCAAGUCGAAUGUGAAACCUCGAGGCUCAACCUCGAGCCUGCAUUCGAUACUGGGCAGCUAGAGUCUGGUAGGGGGAUCUGGAAUUCCUGGUGUAGCGGUGGAAUGCGCAGAUAUCAGGAGGAACACCGGUGGCGAAGGCGACUUCCUGGCCUGUUCUUGACCGCUGAGGCGCGAAAGCUAGGGUAGCAAACGGG
rnacentral:rRNA from 1 species